rnacentral:rRNA from 1 species
UCGCCCGCCGCGCGCGGCGGGCGGGGCGGGGGCACGGGGGGCCUACGGGAGGCAGCAGUGAGGAAUAUUGGUCAAUGGUCGCAAGACUGAACCAGCCAUGCCGCGUGCAGGAAGACGGUCCUAUGGAUUGUAAACUGCUUUUAUACAGGAAGAAACCCUCCCACGUGUGGGAGCUUGACGGUACUGUAGGAAUAAGGAUCGGCUAACUCCGUGCCAGCAGCCGCGGUAAUA